UGUUCGUGGAUUGGAUGGGCAUUCUUUUACUGUCCUCGUUUGCACCCACCCGUGAAAAUAUCUCCGCUCUUGCCUUCUCUCCUGUGCUCUCUCCUCCCCCGAUCCCCUCCUUCCCUACCGUCACGCCGCCGGCUCCAUGCAGCGGCCGACGCGGCCUUCUCUCCCCGGCGCUCGAGGUGCAGGUCACCGGCAUCACUCGCCGCGUGCCGUGGUUCUGGAUCGGGUGCAGAUCUUUGCGCUCCCACCUCUCCUCCUCCUCUCCCUCUCUCUCCCAUGCCGCCAUCGUUGCAAGGAGCAGGGGACAUAGGUGCCAAGGACAGGAAGCAACGGGUUGGUCGCGGUGGGCUUGAGCUGCUGGGGAGAUGGAGAAGGCCGUCGUGGUUCGUCAUGGAGGCGGCGCCGCCGGCAAGCUGGUUGAGGUACGUGUCAGAUCUGUUAGUCCUUCAUGGUUGUAGUUCGUUCUCCUCACAGACCAUGUGUUUCUCCUUUCCUCCCUCAAUGUGCCGGGGAAUACAUCGUUGCUACCUAUAUUACUGGCUUGCAAGCUUUAAGAGGGAGAUUUUAAUAUGUUGGUCAUUCACAUCUCUGGCCAUGUGUGAUGAUUUUUUUUUUGUUAAUGGCUAAUGCUUUAUUUCAGAGAACCAAAUCUGUACCAUGCCGCCUCACCCUCUCAGGUAAUUGUUUCACCCCUUUUGAUAGUGUUUUAGGUAUGUCCUUGUUGUUCUUCCCUAAGAGCUGCAAUUUUCUACCCUAUUUGUUUACUGCUUAUUAUCGUGCUAAUUCCUUUGUAUUCCUGUUUUUCCGGGUGUCGUGUUUGUGUGUUUGUUUUUGUGGCGCUGCUUAUACGUGUGACUACCGUAUGAUUGUAUAUAUAUGCUGAAAAGUAAAACAAUUUUUCCUUGGCACAAUAUAUAAUUUGCAAUGAGAUGGUAGUACAUCAGUGUAUUUACAGGAAAAAACAAUGGUCGUAUAUAUGCUGAAAAGAAUUAAGCCUGAAAAGAACAUUCAUCUACUAUUUCUUGAUGUAUGCUAUCGUAUAUUACAUCCCCCCAAUUGACGAAAAUGAAGUUCAGGGGCAUGUUUUUUUAUAUAUGCUUGACUUAACUGGAGCUUAAAAUUUGUCAUUUGUUUAAGUACCAAUCUGAUUUAUUCUUGACUCUUGAUUGCUGCUACUGGAACUGAGGGAUGUUGACACGUGUAACAAAAUAGUUGAAAGAUUUCAUACCGACGAGGCUCUUGAGACUACAAACAUUUCUUCACUCCUUAUACGAAAGGAUUCUGGGACUAAGUUAUAUGAUUUUAUAAUUUAGUCUGAUUUUCCUUCUGUUAAUAUGUGCUCCUGUGCAAUUUUUCAUAGGCUUCUUUUUCUUUUUUCUGGUUACGAUAUUACAAAGCUGAGCAAUAGUUUCUCUACUAAUAUAGCUUGCGUGAAAAACAUCCGUCUUUGGGAUGCUUUUGCGGCGUGUGUAACUGCCUCACAUUAGCCUAUGCUUCUAUCCGAGUUGCUUACUACUAAGACCAUAAUAGAUCAUGCUUUUAAAAGGUAGUCAUUCAUUCCAGGAAAGUGAAAGCUUGGGUGUAGCUACCAAAGUUCCAUUGAAGAAAAUGAUAAUGUACUUAUAAUGCAUUUCACUUGAUUGAAACAGUUUACUCAUUUGUUGCAUGCCACGCCAACAUUUUAUUCCUGUAGGUAAACAUAAGAAAAUGAGUGGUGAUGUGUGUCACCCCAGUUAGUUUUUCCCCAGAUUUCUUUGAUAUACUGAAAUGCUUAUAUUCAUUACUUUGUGCGACUUUGAAGGAAGGUGCGAUCUCCAGCCUGAAGGACUGGCUGAUUGAUUCAGCUAUAGGAAGCAAUCCUGUUCCGCGAUUGAUUGCUGGAAUCAUAUUUAUGCAAGAGCAAGACUACACACGAGGCUGUCAAGCACACACAUACCAAAGGAACUCUGGACAUGUUAGUUUUAUUUUUCCGUAUGCUUUUAGAUGGUUCAACCUUUCAUUAAUCAAUUGAUUGUUGCAAAUCCCGCCUUCUAAAGAUGGUGUAUAUAUUUCAGUUUUUUUAGUGUCCCACCCAGUAGCUCCCGCCGAUAUUGUCUUUACAUUAUUAUUCUCUGUGAAAUACCACUUUUAGCUUUCCUGGCACAUCAUCUUGCUCUGUAAAAAAUUGCACCGGUAAUUUCCAUUGCCAUUUAGUGGUUCUGAACUUGGAGAGACUAACUCUAAUAAUAUUUGGUAGUAGAUGUUUUUAGUUCCUUCUGAUGAACAUACUGAUUCAAAAAUUUAAGAUAUGUUUUGCUUAGUACAGUAAAGGUUGGAAAUCAUUAGAGAGAAGCAAAAAAGAAGGUUUUUGCGCAAGAUGAAUGGACUCUUAAUUUCUCAUGCCGACUGUAUGUGGCAUUGCCACUGCAGGUUACACACUUCACCCAGUCCACCUACCUACAUUCGUCUAUUUUAUUAAAUGUAGAGGAGAAGAAACUUCGGUUGUGUCGUUCAAUGUGUACCAGGAUAUCAGUAUCCAGAUCAGUGGUUUUCAGUUCUUUGUGCUCUUGCUUAUAUUUCAGAGUUUAUAUUUUGGGACUUAGUUAAGUAGAUUAGUUUUGCCCAUUGUUUUCAUUAAACAUAUAUGUCAGACGCAUGCUAGCCUAACACCUUUGGCAGCAUCUGUCAUGCCAAUUUAAUGCUGCGGAUUACACUACACAUAUACAAUGUAUGCUAAGAUAGCGAUCGGAUAACAAUAGUAUGCAGGCUAUUUUUCCUCCCUGCUGCAUCAUGCUAAUGCAAACCGAGUUGGGUUUUUCCUCCCAGGUCCAAGAUAGAAUCCAGGUUCAAUGUUUUGAUCAUACAAGGCAACUAUAUGGGUUAUAAUGAAAUAGACAAAAGUACCAUUUAUCCACAAGAUUGAUCCAUUCAUAUGGGGCAGCGUCAGAUGCUCUCUGCGGAUCAAUCAAUGGUAAAUAAAGGCAUAUUGUAUUUUCUUUCAAAAAAAUCAUCGAGGAAACAUAUAGAGCUUUAUGUUCGAUUAUGUUCACACCCCUGAACCCAAACCCUAAGCCGAAUCAGGCGAGCUCUCGUUGCCGGAUUGCUGGCCAAUCGUCCGGUUGGCCUCCACGUCAGUUCCGCACCGCUGCCAACGACCGCCGUGCAUUGGAUUCGGGUGUGGCGUUGGCUGGGAACCGUACGGUGUUUGUCUGACAUGCCGUCCGCACUGGGGGUUGGUCGGUCGACUCCAGGUAUGAGCAGCUCCUGAGCUUGAUGGCUGGAUGUGUGCACACAUGUAAUGGGGCAUCAUGGUCAUGUUGCUUGGUGUGCAGAGAUAACCUCAUUUUGGACCAAAAAGAGGGGCAAUGACUCUGACAACAGGCUGAAACAAUCAUGUCUUGAGCAAUCAAGACAGCCUUGGCUUGUGGGACUAAACAGAGCUGAAAAAGUCGGUGUCAGCGUUGGACUUGCCCUUAGAGCCUACCCUUACCUCUGUUGUAGCCUGCUCAAUAUUGUCACUGAUGUUGGAUGAUUUGUUCUUUGGACGGUCGUUCUGAUGAGUGAUAACCAGGGCAGUUCUCUUACACUGUGAUGGUAGGUUAUGGACCAAGAGAUGUGGGUGUUGGCUUUGAAGAUGAAUGACAUAUUAACUGAUAGACUGCCAUCAAAUGAAGUACGGUACAAAUUGUACUACUUCGUUCGAUCCAUAUUAACUGACCCACACUUAGUACAAUCAAAUGAUGAAAUCAUGUUUGAUAAUGAUGAGACAUUCAGCAAUGACUACCUACUACCACUGCCUUCAUAUCUUGGUCUUUCCAUCUGGCAGUAGAUACAAGACUCGGCCCUCGGCCUAGCGUUAAAAUACUAAGCAAGUUAGUUAAGUUGAGCAUUAUUGAUCGGCCUGAUAUAUGUUUUUUCUGUUCUAAGGCAGAAAAUUGGCGUCGGAGAAGUAUAGCAGAUCAUAAAAACUAUUAGGUCAUUUUAUUUUAAAUGCCAUUUUACUGCGACGCGAAUUUUGAGGACAUGCGGCCACCCGAGAUCGUUAUCUUGUGCGUCCGCAGCGCGUCGUGAUCAGCAGCUAAUAUAGCAUCUCCUGCCCACACGCAAAUACCGCACAGUGUUUUCCUUUCUCACAGCACAGUGUUUUCCUUUUUCACAACGGGGAUACGUCCACUAUACGCUCUCGCAUGUGGGCCAACACACAUUUAUUUGCGUACGAAUACAGCCUUGUCCGUUAGCGACUCGACACACUGGGACGGCCGUUCGGUGGUGUGGUCAUAAAUGCCCUGAUGUUUGGUGCACCAUCAUUUAGCAAGCGGGUGAACCGUCCCUCGAUCUAUAGCACUGUACAUCUUCUUGAAGCCUCGAGCUGGUGGAGGCGCAAUGGGGGAAGAUGGCAUGGCUUCAGCAGAAACAGAGAAAUCUAGCAUGUAUACGAUUAUGGGGAAAGCAACGGAUCUGUGUGCUCAAGAGUAUCGUGGCCUUGUGGGGGACUGCUAAUUACCCCGAUUCUGUUGUUUUCGGCAUCGAUUCGGAGAGGCUGAGCAUGCUGCGAGAGGUUACUGAGGACGACCCCAGUGGCAUCGAUUCGGAGAGGCUGAGCAGGCCGUGUUAAUUGGAGCAAUCAAUUCAUCAUGGGUGUGGUUAUUUCGGUGCAGGGGGCUGGGCGUAUUGAUGGUGCGCAACACCCUCUCUUAUUGGUGCAUUGAAGUGAAUGGCGGCCGACGACUAGGCGAUGACUUCACUCUCUCUAACAAAGUACGUGUUUGCAGCUCUUUCCUGAUUAGAGACAGGCUAAUUACGGACCACCCCCUGCUAUCCAAUAUUGCGAAGAGCUUGAAAGGUACUGUCACUAGGCAAUGAAGUGAAGCUCUAUCAGCACCAUGUGAAUAAGUUGUUUGCCAUGUUCUGCCGCAAAAAACCAGAUAUCAAAUACUAUGUCUGCACCAUCAACAAAACAUUCACAAAGCCAUGCAAACGGAUGUAUUUUCAGGUCAACUACAACGAAAGCAAACUAAAAGAUUACAUGACCCAGAUUAUGAUACGCUCAACGUCAGGCUUGCAAACAGUGUUCUACACGCCAAUUGUCGCAUCAUGCUAGGAACCGACAAGAGAGCCACGGUAACAACCAACUGGUCUAAGUUCCGCCGUCUUGCAAAAAUUCAUGAAGGAGACAUUUGUGCAUUUCGUUUCAAGGUCACCACAAAGCAGUGCCUGGUUCUCAUCAUGCAUUGCCUUUAGAUGAACCAUCGACAGCAAUGGAAGUUGUAUCUAAGUAUCAUCUAGCAUUCUAAAGACUACUAGACAAGCUCUGUAAUAGGAUGAAACCUUCCUCUGUUUUUCGACGAUGCUAUUUGUUACUUUUGAACAGCUACCACCUAUGAUUUUACCUAUAUAACCUUUGCUGUUGUUCCUCA